rnacentral:rRNA from 1 species
UACGAAGGGGGCUAGCGUUGCUCGGAAUGACUGGGCGUAAAGGGCGCGUAGGCGGUUUGGACAGUUGGGCGUGAAAUUCCUGGGCUUAACCUGGGGGCUGCGCUCGAUACAUCUGGACUAGAGUGGGGAAGAGGGUUGUGGAAUUCCCAGUGUAGAGGUGAAAUUCGUAGAUAUUGGGAAGAACACCGGUGGCGAAGGCGGCAACCUGGUCCUUGACUGACGCUGAGGCGCGAAAGCGUGGGGAGCAAACAGG